rnacentral:lncRNA from 1 species
CACAGGCCUUGAGUCUACUUGUCUCUUUAAGCCUGAGACCGCUUCCUCCCCAGCAGCACCCAUGCUCUGUAAUCCAUCCAGUGUGAACGACAUUCUGUUCGGCAGACAGGAACACUCACGAUCGCCCAGGUCCUGUACUCCUAGAGGGCUGGUGGUAGACAAAAGGACAGGCUCGGGACUACACGGAAACAGUCCAGCUCUUACCAGGGCAGGGCACACUGCCUAGCCGUGCCUGGCACAGCGCCUCCUAGAGAGGCCUGCCCUGCAAGCCCAAGAUUUGGAGGUUGGAGGCUGUCCUCUGAGGAACUUCUGAGGCCAAGAGGGCCCAGCAGAGUGGUUCCCACAAAGAAGUGUGGUAAGAAGAAGGGCCCUUCUUCAAUCAAUGAAGUAGUGACCAGAGAAUCCACCAUCAAUAUUCCCAAGCACAUCCAUGAAAAAUUUCUGAUGAGGAAGAUAACAGAAAAAGGAAUUCUUGGGAACCAGUCAACUCAAAUUCUGAAACACAGCCCUGCUGUAACCGAGGCUAGCCCAACCAGUUGACAUGAUGGAGUAUCCUCAAGACAGAAGAUCAUUCCUUUGAUGCUGCCUUUCACUGGCCCUGGUGAGCAACCUUCAGCCGCAUUCACGGCUCUUUGACACAGCAGUUCACCCAGAAAGAAUGCAGUGUUCUUCCAAGUGGCAUUCACCCUGAGCCUGACCACCAGAAAAGUCACUGUUGCUCUGAAUAUUUCAUCACCUAACAGAGCUUUUCCAAGUCUUGGCAAGGUUGCUUAUGCUUAUAAACAAGCUCAGGUAAUAAUGGGGUGUGCAUGCAGGAAGGGGCUAGAGGUAUCAGGGUAUUCAGUGGAAUGAGUGAUGGCAACUUGGGGACGAUGUUAUUGCUGUGGGUCUGCAAUUUCCAGAGAGAAGUUGAGUUGGAAAGAGAGGGUAGAAAAAGGGAGUAGUAGACCGGGAGAAAAUGAUAAAUAAUCUGCUGAAACUAUCCACAAAAUAUUGACUCCUAAGGAAUAAAUAUUUACCAUUGGGUGUCCCUGCA